rnacentral:rRNA from 1 species
UCUACGGGAGGCUGCAGUGAGGAAUAUUGGUCAAUGGGAGGAAUCCUGAACCAGCCAUGCAGCGUGCAGGACGACGGCCCUACGAGUUGUAAACUGCUUUUGUGCCGGGGUAAAAUGCUCCACGUGUGGGGUUUUGUAAGUACGGCAUGAAUAAGGACCGGCUAAUUCCGUGCCAGCAGCCGCGGUAAUACGGAGGAUCCGGGCGUUAUCCGGAUUUAUUGGGUUUAAAGGGUGCGUAGGCGGGCUUUUAAGUCGGCGGGAAAAAUUCGGGGCUAAACCCUGGCCGGCCGGGGAAACUGGGGGCCUUGAGUGCGCGGAAGGAAGGCGGAAUGCGUGGUGUAGCGGUGAAAUGCAUAGAUAUCACGCAGAACCCCGAUUGCGAAGGCAGCCUUCGGGAGCCCGACUGACGCUGAGGCACGAAGGUGCGGGGAUCGAACAGGAUUAGAUACCCGGGUAGUC